ACAGUGGCGCUACAGUGCCUGGAGCUGCGCUGGUUUUUCCUCGGAGUGGAGCCUGGUAACCGCGACUUCCCCGCCAUGUUCUGUGUGUUGCUGGCUGGAGAAGGGUGGUUGACAAACUCCGACCCAGCACAGUGUUUCUGUGGGUCAAAACUAGAAAACUAUGUCCAGGCUCGGCCGAGGCGGAAGGAUCCGUUCAGGCCAGGAGUUAAAGAGCUGCCUGGGCAACAUGGCGCGACCCCAUCUCUGUAGUCCCACCUCAGCUUCCCAGAUACUUGAACCCCAAGGUUCAAGGCUGCAAUGAGCUAUGAUCCCAUCACAGCACUCCAUCCUGCGAGACGGAGGACCUGCGGAGCAGCCAGGCUUCAUGAGUUAAAUGCAGAUCUGAACCAUACCCAGUUGGGAUUGGGGUACACACUCUACUCCUCUGAAAACUAGCUAGGGGUUCGAACUUGGUGAGAGGGAGAGUGGGACAGAGCCAGACCAGACAAGGACUGAUCACCUGGAAAAACCUGCCAUCAAAGACCUUGACGAGUGCUGGGGGCGGUGGCUCAUGCCUGUAAUCCCAACACUUUGGGAGGCUGAGACAGGUGGAUCACUUGAGGCCAGGAGUUCGAGUCCCGCCUGGGCAACAUGGCAAAACCCUGUCUCUACUAAAAAUACAAAAAUUAGCUAGGUAUGCUAUGCUCCUGUAAUCCCAGCUACUCGGGAGGUUGAGGCAGGAGAAUCGUUUGAACUGGGGAGGUAGAGGUUGCAGUGAGCUGAGAUUGUGUCACUGCCCUCCAGCCUGGGUGACAGAGUGAGACUCCGUCUCAAAAAAAAAAAAAAAACCCACCUGAAGAAGGUUUCCAGUUCUGCCAGCAGUCCCCCAUCCAACCCCCAGAAGCAGACAUUCCUUUGCUGUGGGCCAUGGACAGGCAGAAGGAAGCGCCUCCUCAUGGCAGAGGCCUACCCAGGAGAAACCCAAGGGAAGGCACUGCCUGGCCAGCCCCUCUGCCAAAGCCAUUUUCUUUUUUCCUUUUUUUUUUUUUUUUUUUUUGAGACACAGUUUCACUCUGUCUCCCAGACUGGAGUGCAGUGGCAUGAUCUUGGCUCACUUCAACCUUCACCCCCUCCCCCGCCCCCUGCCGGGUUCAAGUGAUUCCCAUGUUUCAGCUUCCUGAGUAGCUGAGAUUGCAGGCAUGCGCCACCACACCUGUCUAAUUUUUGUAGAGACGGGGUUUCACCAUGUUGGCCAGGCUGGUCUGGAACUCCUGACUUGAAGUAAUCUGCCCACCUCGGCUUCCCAAAGUGCUGGGAUUACAGGCGUGAGCCACUGCGCCUGGCCCCUUCAGGUGGGUAUUGAGGCUUCACUACAAUACUAGUUCCCCGUUGCUGCCGCAAUAAAUUACCACACACUUAGUGGCUUAAAACAGCAUAGAGGUAUUCCUUUACAUUUCUGAAGGCCAGAAUUCUAAAGUCAGUCCCACUGAGUCAAGGUGGGAGCAGGGUCAGUGCCUUUCCAGGCUCUGCGGGAGAAUCCGUUUCCUGGCCCUGGAGGCGGCCUGUACUCCUCAGCUUGUGCUGCCCUUCUCGAAUGACUCGCGUUUCCUGCUUUCAUCACUACACCUCCCACCGCUCUCCAUCACCUGCUCUGCUCUUAUAAGGAUCCAGAGAAAUGGAAUAAUCUUAUUGCUGAUCUAUGUAAACAAGUUGAAGAAUUGUCUGAAAGAAAAUACAGUGUGUCUAAACUGGAAAAGUCCUGUAAUAGUUUGUUCAUGAGCAUUUACACAGUGGAGUUACUGUUCAUCAUGGGGGUACUGUGGACAAGCCCAGGGCUGCUGUAGAGACAAGAGUUUUUCCAUGUAGGCCCGGCUGGCCUCGAACUCCUGACCUCAAGUGAUCCACCUGCCUCCCAAAGUGGGAUUACAGAUACAUGAAGUUAUGAAUUUAAGAUGUGAAGAUUUACAGCUUGAUAAACCAGCUUCAGGAGACAUGAUCUUAUGAAUUCAACACAUGAAGAUUUACAACUUGAUAAACCAGCUUCAGGAGAUCAGAACUUCUUAUAAUACAACUGACGUUACUCAGCCUAGAACAAAUACAACAGGGAUUGUGCUGCAUUCUGACUUGGAUUCUGCCAUCGAACACAGAAUGCCCUGAUCCUUAGAUGCAGAGGCAGCUCUUCAGCCUAUGGGGGCUGCUGUAAAAUAUUACAGGCAUACUUUGGAGAUGUUACGGGUUUGGUUCCACAUCACUGCAAUAAAGCCUUCCAGAUAUACAGUCAUAUUUCUUAUAUUACACGACUCCAGCGGGAGGAAGAAGAGGCCUUUGCCAGCAGUCAGAGCAGCCAAGGGGCCCAAUCCCUCACAUUCUCCAAGUUUGAAGGAAAGAAAACCAACGAGAAGACCCGCAAGAUUACCACAGUGAAGAAAUCUUCAGUACGUCUUCCAGGGUCGGAUCAAAGAAGGUGCCUCCAGAAUGAGUUGAGAAGAUAAAUGGAUCAGAUUGAAAAGUACAUCAUGACUCAUCUCUAUAAAUAUGUGUUCUGUCCAGAAACUACUGAUGAUGAGAUGAAAGAUCUUGCCAUUCAAAAGAGGAUCAGAGUGGAAGCUGCUCUGUGGUGUCAGAAAGACAAGGAAUGUGGUGACCUCACCUAUCCAUCUCCCUCAAGGCAGCUUUUGAGCCCUUCACUGGGUUACACCUCAGAUGCUGUGUGUCCCUGUUAAUGAAGACAUCCCAGAAGUGUCUGAUACGGUGUUGAAGGCAAUCACAGGAACCAGAGACUCACCCAAGCUACAGAAGAAAUGGAGAUUUGCUUAAGGGAUUGUGCUGCAUUCUGACUUAGAUUCUGCCAUCAAAAACAGAAUGCCCUGAUCCUUAGAGGCAGAGGCAGCUCUUCAGCCUAUGGGCUUAAGCUCUUGGACUCACUGAGGCAGUAAAAGAACCAUAUCCUGUGUUUGAAUCAAACCCCGAGUUCCUGUAUGUUUAGAAGGUUUGCCAGACAGGAUUCCCUUUUGAAGCCCUCCUGGUUUGGAAUUCCAUGACUUAAAAGGAUCGUCCGUGGGAGUAAUAACAUCAAGUCUGUUGGUAAAAACUUCGCAGUUUCUAAAAAGACCACGAAGCCCUGAGAGUAAUGAAAAGGUUCCUGAAAUUGAGGUCACUGUGGAAGAAGGAAACGUGUCAUGUACCAGCUAUCCAUCCAAUGACUGCCCAUCAGUUCCAUAUUCACCCUUCACUGCCUGAUCUGCAAACAUAGAGGAAGUGACCUCAUAAUGACUCAAGCUACCACUUACUGUUGAUUGUGAUGAAAUGCCAGUGGAGGCACAUGCCUUGGGAGCUAAGUGGCUGCUGCACUUGACCACUAUGAAGACUGGUGUGGGAAGAAUCCUUUUGGAUGCACUUCAGCAGGGACCCCUGAUCCCUGGGUCACAGGCCUGUACUGGGCCACACAACAGGAGAGCGAAGCUUCAUCUGUAUUUACAGCCGCUCCCCACAUUACCACCUGAUCUCUGCCUUCUGUCAGAUCAGUGGCAACAUUAGAUUCUCAUGUGAGCACGAACCCUAUUGUGAACUGUGCAUGCAAGGGAUCUAUCUUGCUCUGUCCUUAGGAGAAUCUAAUGCCUGAUGAACUGUCAUUGUCUCCCAUCACCCCCAGAUGGGACCAUCUAGUUGCAGGAAAAGAAGGUCAAGACUCCCACUCAUUCUACAUUAUGCCUCAGCCAAGAUGUCUCACCCUACUCUCUAUGAUGCAACAAGAAGCCCCUGGGGAAUGUUUCAGUCCCAGUCUGUACUAUUGUCAUGUGCUCAUCACAGUCUGGUGGAAUUUAAAUGACCUUUUAUCAAGAUGGAUAAACGCAAGUUUCCCAGUGCUGGAAUACAGAAAAUGGAUGGACAACUGGAUCUACCAUGAAAGACUUCAGAGUCCAGGAAGAGAGACUGACUGGGCAACAUGUUAUUCAGUUACAAAAAGACUUGGACUAUGACUCAAAAAUGAUCAAAUAAUAGUUCAUGCAUCAAAUGCAAUAGGAAGUACUUCUGGAGGGUGAGAGAAGCAUCCAGUUAAGGUGACAUUGAAGCUGGGUCCUGAAAGAUGAGGAAGAAUUGUAUGAGAGUGGGCAGAGAAGGGGGAGGUGGAGGGAUGGGGAAUGGGCUGGGAUGGAGUGAGCUGCUCAAGUAGGGAGACCAGCACUGUAAAGACCUGGACGAUAAAGACGGCACAUUUUAUUCAGGGAAUGGUGAAUUAAGUGUGGCAGGAAUGCUUUGGAGAGAUAGUAAUUUGCUUGUAUGGAAUUUUGCCCAAGAGGCCUCAUUACAGUUUCUAAUCUUUUGAUGUUAUCAUCUAUCACUGUCCUUGCCAAAUAGUUUGGAAUAGGUAUAAUGAUCACAAUAACAUCAAGCAUAAUAUUUCAUUAAUUCUCACAAAAUCACAGGUAGGUGCCACAGUUAUCCCCAUUUUGUGAAUGAAGUGAUGAAGACUUAGGAAUAAUGAGUGAUUUGCCCAAGCUCACCUGGAUAUUAAGACUGAGUCAAAUGUGGGGUCUGGUCUGACUUUAAUGUUUGCUUUGUUCAUGAGCACCACGUAUUGCCUCUCCUAUGCAGUUAAGCAGGUAGACAGGUGAAAGAAAAGCCCAUGUUAGUCUCUACUCACACACUUCCGACUGAAUGUGUGUGUGGAAUUUCUACACCAAGUUCUCCAAUGCUCUGGAUAUUAACUGGGUAUCCUACAAUUUUAUUCUGACACUUCCUGGAGUUGGCGUAGACCCCACAGGUUACGGGCUCAGUCCCACAAGACCACCCUUGCUUCACAUUGCAAUGGCAAGUCCUAGGUUGUCACCUGCACUUUUGACCAACCUGUUACAAAUCAGGGGUUCCCAUGACCCCCUCUUGGGGUUUAAUCAUUUGCUAGAGCAGCUUACAGAACUCAGAAAAACAGUUUGUUUCCUUUUUUUCUGAGAGACAGGGUCUCAUUUUGUUGUCCAGGCUGGUGUGCAGUGGUGCAGUCAUAGCUCACUGCAGCCUUGACUGCCUGGGCUCAAGUGGUCCUCCCACCUCAGCCUCCCUAGUAGCUGAGACUACAUGCUUGCACCACCAUUUCUGGCUAAUUUAUUUUUUGUAGAUAUGGCGUCUUGUUAUGUUGCACAGGUUGGCCACAAAUUCCUGGGCCCAAGCAAUCCUCCCACCGCAGCCUCUUUGAAGUGCUGGGAUUACAGAUGUGAGCCACCACAUUUCCUAUUACUGGUUCCUUGUAAAGGAUACAUCGCAGAAACAGCUAAUGAAAGAGAUGUAUGUGCCAGAUGCAGUGGCUCACGCUGUAAUCCCAACACUUUGGGAGGCCGAGGUAGGAGGAUUGCUUAAACUUAGGAGUUUGAGACCAGCCUGGGCAACACGGUGAAACCCUGUCUCUGUAAAAAAUUUUUAAAAAGCUGGGCACGGUGGCUCAAGCCUGUAAUCCCAGCACUCUGGGAGGCCAAGGUGGGUGAAUCACGAGGUCAGGAGUUGAAGACCAGUCUGACAAACAUGGUGAAACCCCGUCUCAACUAAAAAUGCAAAAGUUAGCCAGGUGUGGUGGCACGCACGUACAAUCCCAGCUACUUAGGAGGCUGAGGCAGGAGAAUCGCUUGAACCUGGGAGGUGGAGGUUGCAGUGAGCUGAGAUCACACCACUGCACUUUAGCCUGGGCAACAGAGCUAGACUCUUGUCUCAGUAAAUAAAUUAACCGAGUGCGGUGGUGUGCAGUUACUAAUUCCAGUUACUACAGAACUAGACUCCAUCUCAAUAAAUUAAAUAAAUAAAUAAAUAAAUAAAUGAAUAAAUAACUGAGUGUGGUGGCAUGCACCUGUAGUUCCAGUUACUAGGGAAGCUGAGGUGGGAGGAUGUUUUGAUCUGGGGACUGGGGAGGCUUAGGUUGCAGUGAGGUAAGAUUGUGCCACUGCACUCUAGCCUGGAUAAAAGAGCCAGACACUUUCUCAAAAAAAAAAAAAAAAGAAAAAGAAAAAAAAAAGAUGCCCAGGGCAAGGUAAGUGGGGAGGGGCACAGAGCUCCCAUGCACUUUGUUGAACAUGCUACCCUCCCAGCAUCUCCUAUGUUCAGCAACCCAGAAGCUCUGCAAUCCCUGUUGUUCAGGGUGUUUAUGGAGGCUUUAUUAUGCAAGCACGAUUGAUAAAAUCCUUGGCCAUUGGUGAUUAAGUCAAUCUCCAGCCCGUCUUGCCUCCUGGAGUUAAGCGGGUGAGGCUGAAAGUUCCAAGCCUCUAAUCAUGUCGUUGCUUUUUCUGGCAAUCGGCCCUUCUCCUAAAGAAAUCUAGGAGCUUGCAGCCACUCAUCAUCUCAACAAUAUCCCCAAAUGCAUUCUUGUCAUGCUGGAGAUCCCAAAGUUCUUAAAGUCUCUUGUGUUAGAAACCUGGGACAAAGACCAAAUAUUAAAACAAAAGAUGCUCCUAUCACCUCUAACACUGAGGUCUUUAUAAGAGCUUUAGAAGCUCUGUGCCAGGAACCAGGGACAGAGACCAAAUAUAUUUUUCUGUUCUUUUUUUGAGACAAAAUCUCCCCAUGUCAUCCAGGGUGGAGUGCAGUGUUGUGAUCAUAGCUCACUAUAGCUUUGACCUCCUGAGCUCAAGUGAUCCUCCCACCUGAGCCUCUUAAGUAGCUGGGACUACACAUGCAUGUUACCCAUGCCCAGCUCAUUUUUGUAGAGAUGAAAUUUAAUUAUGUCGCCCAGGCUGAUCUCAAACUCCUGGGCUAAAGCGAUCUCACCUCAGCCUCUCAAGUAGCUGGGAGUACAGGGACACACCACCAUGUCUGGCUAAUAUUUAUUUUUAUUUUUUCAUAGAGGUGAGGUCUCACUAUGUUGUCCCGGCUGGUUUCAAACUCUGGGCCUCAAGUGUUCCUCCUGCUUUGACCUCCCAAAGUGUUGGGAUUAUGGGUGGAAGCCACCACGCCCAGCAAUUACAAGGAUUUUUUUUUGGUUUUUUGUUUUUUUGUUUUUUGAGACGGAGUUUCGAUCUUGUUGCCCAGGCUGGAGUGCAGUGGCGCGAUCUCGGCUCACCAAAACCUCCACCUCCUGGCUUCAAGCGAUUCUCCUGCCUCAGCCUCCAGAGUAGCUGGGAAUACAGGCAUGCGCCACUACACCCGGCUAAUAUUUGUAUUUUUAGUAGAGACGAGGUCUCUCCCUGUUGGUCAGGCUGGUCUCAAACUCUUGACCUUAGGUGAAUCACAAUGAUCUUUAUAAAAGAAAGAGGGUAGGAGAGUCAGAACUGGAGCAGGAGAUGUGAUGGAAGCCGAGGUCAGAGAGGGAGAUUUGAAGAUGCUUCACUUCUGACUUUGAAAAUGGAGUAAGGGGCCAUGAUCCAAGGAAUGGGGGUGGCUUCUAGAAGCUGGAAAAGCCAAGAGAAAAUGUUAGAGCCUAGAGCCUUCAAAAGGAAUGCAGCCCUGCUGACACCUUGACUUUAGCUUUAAUAGACCUAGUUUGGGCUUCUGGCCCCCAGAACUGUAAAGAUGGUUGAUUUGUGGUGUUUUUAGCCACUAAAUGUAGGAAAGUUUGUUGCAGCCACAAGAAGAAAUGAACAUAAAGCCAGGCAUGGUGGCUCAUGCUGGUAAUCCCAGCACUUUAGGAAUCCAGGCAGGAGGAUCACUUGAGGCCAGGAGUUCAAGACUAGCUUGGGCAACAUAGUGAGACCCUGUCUCUACAAAAAAUUUAAAAAAUGGCUCAGUGCAGUGGCUUGUGCCUGUAAUUUCAACACUUUGGGAGGCUGAGGCAGGCAGAUCACCUGAGGUCAGGAGUUCAAGAACAGCCUGGCCAACAUGGCAAAACCCCAUAUCUAAUGAAAAUACAAAAGUUAGCCAGGUAUGGUGGCACGCGCCUGUAAUCCCAGCUACUAGGAAGGCUGAGGCAGGAGACACCCUUGAAACUGGGAAGUGGAGGUUGCAGUGAGUCAGGAUCACACCAUUGCACUCCAGCCUGGGCAAGAAGAGCGAAAUUCCAUCUUAAGAUAAAAUGAAAUAAAAUAAUAAAUCAGCCAGGCAUGAUGACAUGCACCUGUAGUCUCAGCUACUAGGGAGGCUGAGGUGGGAGGAUUGCUUGAGCCCAGGAAUUGGAGGUUGCAGUGAGCUGUGAUUGCACCACUGCACUCCAGCCUUGGUGGCAGAGUGAGAUCUUGUCUCCAAAAAAAAAAAAAAAGUAUGGUAGGCAUGGGGACAGAUGGCAAUGUUAAUAGAAUAGUCAGGGGUGGCCUCCUUAGUAAAAAUUGAGCAAAGACUUGAAGGAGGGGAAGGAGUUGGCCAAGGUGCUGAGGGAAGAGCAUUGUAGGUAGAAAAAACAGAAUAAGGUGUCUGAGGUGUGUCUGAGGCUCUGGAAGGAGGCCAGUGGAGCAGGAGAGAGGGAGAGAAUUAGGGCAGUAGGCCAGAGAUUUGCUGGGCAGGGAUCAGUACAUACCGUGUAAGCCCUGGGAGGUUAUUGCUGGGCUAGAUAGGAAAUUCAGGAGGGUUCUGAGCAGAGAGGCCACGUGAUAUGUCUGCCGAUUUAAAAGCAUUCUCUGGCUGCUGAGUUGAGAAAGACUGUGGGAAGAUUUGGGUAGAAGCAUGGGGGCCAAGCUGUGGCAACAUCCAGGUGGGAGAUGAUAGUGGUCUUGACCAGGGUCAUGGUGGUGUUGAGAGAUGGUCAGAGGAGAGAAGUAGGGGAGGAGGCCAGGGAGUUGCUGGGUGGGGAUCUUCAGUACGUGUUGAAGACAGUCAACAGGAUUUCCUGUCAGACUGGAUGUGGAAUGUGAGAGAAGGCAGGGGUCAGGGUUGAGUUAGAUUCUUACCGAAUUAUUAAGUAAUUUUAAAAAACACUACUGUCUUUCCCAGUCCUAUUAAGUAUGGGAUACUAGAUUAAAGAAAUAUCUUCAGGCUCAGUGCAGUGGCUCAUGCCUGUAGUCCCAGCUGUUUGGGAGGCAGAGAUGGGAGUAUCUUUUAAGGGCAGUAGUUCGAGACCAGCCUGGGCAACAUAGCAAGACCUCCUCUCAAUAAAUAUAUUUUUCAAAAUUUAGUAAAACGAAAUGUAGCUAGGCAUGCUGAUGUGUACUUGUAGUCCCAGCUACUCAGGAGGCUGAGGUGGGCAGAUCUUUUGAGGUCAGGUGUUUGAGGCCAGCUUGGGCAACAUAGCAAGACCCCUCACUCUGCAAAAAAAAUUUAAAAAAUAGCCAGGUAUGGUGGCACUCAACUGUGGUACCAGCCAGUGGGGAGCUGAGGCAGGAAGAUGGCUUAAAUUCAGAAGGUCGAGGCUUCAGUGAGCUAUAAGUGCACAAGUGCUCUCCAGCCUGGGCGACAGAGCAGGACCGUGUCACAAUACAAAUUAAGUAAUGAAAUCAUAAGUUAGAGCCUUUAGGCUUUGUAGCCCUUGCAACCCCGGAGCCGUGCAGUGGGAUUUGCAUUGCUGGGAAUGAAGAGACCCCUGCCCAGUAUUGCUGCCUGACUAAUCAGUGUUUUAAAAAAUAUAUGAAUCUGUUGGGAGGCCGAGGCGGGCGGAUCACGAGGUCAGGAGAUCUAGACCAUCCUGGCUAACACGGUGAAACCCUAUCUCUACUAAAAAUACAAAAAAAUCAACCGGGCGUGGCAGUGGGCACCUGUAGUCCCAGCUGCUGGGGAGGCUGAGGCAGGAGAAUGGUAUGAACCUGGGAGAUGGAGCUUGCAGUGAGCCGAGAUUGUGCCACUGCACUCCAGCCUGGGGAACAGAGCGAGACUCUGUCUCAAAAAAUAUAUAUAUAUAUAAAUAAAUAUAUAUGUAAAUAUAUAUAAUGUAUAAAAAUAUAUGUAAAUAUAUUAAUAUAUAAAUAUACAUGCAAAUAUAUAUUAAUAUGUAUGUAAACAUUAAUGUAUAUGUAAAUAUAUAUUAAUAUAUGUAAUAUAUAUAAUUAUAUAUAUUAAUCAGUGUGGGCACAAUGGCUUACGCCUGUAAUCCCAGCACUUUGGGUGACCGAGGUGAUCACCUGAGGUCAGGUGAUCACCUGAGGUCAGGAUUUCGAGACCAGCCUGGCCAACAUGGCUAAACCACAUCUCUACUAAAAAAACAUAAAAAUUAGCCAGCCAUGUUGGUGGGCACCUGUAAUGCCAGCUACUUGGGAAGCUGAGCCAGGAGAAUUGCUUGAACCCAGGUGGCGGAGGUUGCAGUGAGUCAAGAUCGUGCCACUUCACUCCAGCGUGCGUAAGUCAGACUUUGUUUCCCCCCCAAAAAAAAGUACUACUUACGUCAACUUGUAAUGGUUUUAUUAUUCAUGUGUAAUGAAUGUAUAUUUUAAAAAUUUGUCCUGUACUAUAUCAACAUGAAAUGGUUUUAUUAUUAAUAUGUAAUGAAUAAUAUUUUAAAAUUUGUCUUAUUUUCUAAUUUUAAUAUAAUUAUUUAUAUAAAGAAAAAGGCUUAAGAGAUCUUCAAUAGAGUUAAAAAAUGUAAAGGGAUGCUAGACCCAAAAAGAUUGGGAACAUGUAGUUUAGACAUAUUCAGAGUAAGCCACGUACAACUUGCUACUUUACCUAUUUUCUUUCCUUUUUUUGUUUUGUUUUGUUUUAGAAGAUGGGGUCUCCUCUGCAACCCAGGCUGGAGUACAGUGGUGCAAUCACAGCUCACUGUAGCCUUGAACUCCUAGGCUAAGGCUCCUCCUGCCUCAGCCUCCUGAGUAGCUGGGACUGUAGUUAUAUAUGAUGACACCUGGCUAUUCUUUAAAUUGUUUUGUAGACAUGGGGUCUCACUUUGUUGGCCAGGCUGGUGUCAAACUCCUGGCCUCAAGUGACCCUUCUACCCCUGCCUCCCAUCCUAGAGGUAUGAGCCACCACAACAAGCACUUGUUCGAUUUUCUAAAAAACAAAUUUCCAAAUUAAGGCUGUGGGAUGAUGGCCAGAAGAUAAAGUAGAAAAACAGAAUAAUAGGCCGGGCGCGGUGGCUCACGCCUGUAAUCCCAGCACUUUGGGAGGCCGAGGUGGGUGGAUCGCGAGGUCAGAGUUCGAGACCAGCCUGGCCAACAUGUUGAAACCCCGUCUCGACUAAAGAUACAAAAAAAUUUAGCCAGGCGUGGUGGCACGUGCCUGUAAUCCCAGCUACUCGGGAGGCUGAGGCAGGAGAAUCGCUAGAACCUGGGAGGUGGAGGUUGCAGUGAGCUGAGAUCGUGCCAUUGCACUCCAGCCUGGGUGACAGGGCAAGACUCUAUCUCUAAAAAAGAAAAACAGAAGAAUAAAUUCUAAUGACUUACACAUAUUCUUUUGACAGCAAGAAGAACUUUUAGUAAAUACAUUCCUUACAAACAAACAGAAGGCAAAUAAACACUGUUGUACAGGAACUUCAACACACACUGUACAAUAUUCCCACUUUGCUGAUGUCAGUUAUGGAAAUUCUUCAUGGUUUACUUGACUAUCGCUAUCAGUAUUUUGCAUCUCUCAUCAUUUUUGUCAACUUCCUCAUCUGCUAACUUCUCUCCAAGGUAUGUCAUAUUGUGACAUACUGCUGCUGCACGAACAUGGCCAGUGUCAUCCUAUUAAACAUGUAGAAUCCUUCCCUAAUUUGUUUUUUUACCCUCUGUCUCUUUGUUUUGCAUUUUUCUUACCCUUAUUGUCAGAAACUCCAGAAAGUCAAUCGUAGUGAUUUAUCACCAAUUGCUCCAUUAAUUUAUACUUUGCUUACAUGGAAUUUUGCCCAACAGACAUCAUUACAAUUUCUAACCUUUUUUUUUUUUUUUUUUUUUUUUCCUGAGACAGGGUCUUGCUCUGUUGUCCAGGCUGGAGUGCGGUAGUGCUAUCACAGCUGACUGCAUCCUCAACCUCUCAGGCUCAAGCAGUCCUCCCACCUCAGCCUCCCAGGUGGCUGAGACUGUACGUGCUUGCCACAAUGCCCAACUAAUAAUUUGGACUUUUCCUAUACAUGGGUUCCAAAGGGCUGACUGCGAAACGAAGUGACCUCACAAUGACUCAAGCUACCACUUAGUGUUGAUUGUGAUGAAAUGCCAGCUGUGGCAUAUGCCUUGGGAGCUAAGUGGCUGCUGCACUUGACCACUAUGAAGACUGGUGUGGAAGGGUCCUUCUGGAUGUACUUGGGCAGGGUCCCCAACGCCAGAGCCAUGGAACUGUAAGGAGCCACACAGCCGGAGGUGAAUGGUGUUGAAUGAGGGAAGCUUCAUCUGUGUUUACAGCCACUCCCCAUUGCUCACAUUCCUGCCUGAGCUCUGCCUUCUCUCAGAUCAGCAGCAGCAUUAGAUUCUCAUAGGAGCAUGCACCCCAUUGUGAACCAUGCAUGUGAGGGAUCUACGUUGCGCUGUCCCUAUGAGAAUCUAAUGCCUGAUGCUCUGUCACUUUCUCCAAUAUUAUCUUCAAGUGAGCCACUCCUGGCCCAAUUCCUGUCUCCCGUUGGCCUAUAGAGGCCAAGCCUCUGCCUCAUGAUGGCCUCUGCAGGUCAAGCUCCUCCUCCUGGUUCCGUCUACAGGCCCAACACUUCCCUCAAAUAAACUCUUCUGCCCAGCUCCUGUCCAGCUCACGGCAGCCACUGUCGGCAUGAAAAUUCCUCAAUUCAAGCUCUCUAGGCCCACCUUCUGCCUCCCACUGGCCUGGACACGCCCAGCUCCAACCUGACAAUGGUCUCUACAGGCCCAGCUCAUCGGGCUCUGAGGGACCUCUCCAGGCCAAGCUCUUACCUCACGGAGGCUUCUCCAGGUCGUUUCUCCCUGUCUUCAGGCAGUGGUGACAGGUCAGCUCCUCCUCCACAGUGGCCUCGUUUGGGCAGGUCCUGCCUCUUGCAGCCUCUCAAAGCCCAGCUCCUGCCUCUGAGUGGCUUCUGCGCACCCAAAUGUCCUCCAGUCAGCCUGUCCUGGCUGAGCUCCUGCGACCUGGCUGAGCUCCUGCCUCCUGUCGGCCUCUAUAAACCCAGCCUCUGCUGUAUGGUGGCUUCUUCAGGCCCAGCUCUUCCUCCUGGCGGUGUAUACAGGUCCAACUCCUGCUUCCCAAUGGACUCUUUAGGCCAGGCUCAUGCCUUACGGCAGCCUUUCCUGGCCCAGCUUUUGCCUGUUGGCAUACCCUCCAGGCCCACAAUGUACUCAGAUCAGCCACUCCAUUCCCAGCUCUUCUUCCUGGCUGUGUCUACAGGCCCAACUGCUGCCUCACAACACCCUCUUUUGGCCCAGCUCCUGCCCAGCACCUGGUGGCCUCUAUAUGCCCCAGACUUCUUAAAGUCAACUUUGCUAGGCCCACCUUUGGCCUCCCAGCGGCUUUGACAGGACCAGCUCUUGCCUCAUGGCAGCUUCCCAACGCCAGGUUUCUGCCUGCAUUGUGGCAUCCUUGAUGGACCCAACUCUUGCUUUAUGCCGGCCUUCCCACACCAAGUUUCUGCCUGCCUCAUGGCAGGAUCCGAUAGGCCCAGCUCCUGCCUCUAAUGGCCUGGUUAGGCUCAUCUCAUCCCUCAAGGUGGCCACCCCAGAUGAAGCUCCUGCCUUUUGGCAGCCUUUAGAGGCCCAGCUCAUGCAUCUCAUUGCCUCUUGAAGCCCAGCUCAUUCCUCAAAACGGCCUAUCCACGCCCAGCUUUUCCCUUUGGUGGCUUCUCCAGGCCCAGAAAUUCCUCAGUUCGGCUUCGCAAGGUGAAGUUGCUGCCUCCCUGUGCCUUCUCCAGGCCCAGUUCUUCCUCCCAGCUGGGUCUACAGUCCCAUCUCCUGACUCAAAACAACCUAUUUUGGCUCGGCUCCUGCCCAGCACCUGGCGGCCUUUGUAGGCCUAAAGCUUCCUCAAGUCAAGCGUUCCAGGCCCAGAUCAUGCUGCCCAGGGGCCUUCACAGGCCCAGCUACUGCCUGACGAUGGCUUCCCCAGGCCCAGGUCUUGCCUUCCCCCAGCCUCCCGAGGCCCAGCCCUUGCCUCACAGUUGCUUUCCCAGUCCACGUUACAGCCUGUUACCCGACGGCCUUGACAGACCAAACUCUUCCUUCACACUGGACAGUUUAGGACAAGCUCAUACGUCUUCCAGCCUCUCCAGGUCAAGCUCCUGCCUCACACUGGCCUCUAUAGGCCCAGGUGCUGAAUCGCAAUGGUCUGUUUAGGUCCAUCUCAUGCCUUUCUCAGACUCUCCAAGCGACGAUCUGGCCUGACACUUGCUUCUGUGGGCCAUGUGAUCACUCACACUGGCCUCUUUAGGAUCAGGGGAUGCCUCUCCACAGGCCGAGAUCCUGCCUGUUGUAGGCCCCUUCAGGAUGCGCCGCUGCCUGACAGUGGACCCUCCAGGCCUAGAUGUUACGUGAUCAUGGCCUCUGCAGGUCAAGAAUUUAAAUUUUCGCAGCCUCUAUAGGCCAGGCUACUGCCUCCUGAUAAUGGCUUCUGCAGGCCCAAAUCGUCCUGAAAUAAGCCUCGCCAGGAACAGCACGUGUGUUGGAUGCCCGAACAACCAUAGCUUCUCCCGCACAGUGGCCCAUGGGGGCCGGGCUCUUGCCUCAGCCUGGCCACCUCAGGCCCAGUUCUUGCCUGUUGGCGGCCGCUCCAGGCCCGGCUCCUGCCCCUCGGCCUCCUCUCCAGGCCCAGAACUGGUUCCCGUCGGCCUCUCCAGGCCCAGCUCUCCCGGCCACCUCCACGGGCCCAGCUCCUGCCUCACGACAACCACGUUCGGCCCAGCUCCUGCCCAGCUCCUGGCAGCCGUUGUAGGCCCCAGGCUUCCCUGCGUUCAGGCCUCCCGGACCCACCUUCGGCUUUCCGGCGGCCCUGAGAGACCCGGCUCCUGCCUGCCAGCGGCCUCUCCCGGCCCAGCUGCGGCCUCACGUCGGCCUCCCCAGGCCACGUUUCCGCCUGCCUCACGGCAGCCCCGGCAGGCCCGGCUCCCGCCUGCCGGGGGCCUCUUGAGGAGGCUCAUCUCGUGCCCGGCCGCGGCCUCCCCAGGCCAGGCUCCUGCCUGCCGGCAGGCGCCACAAGCCCAGCUCCUGCGUCCCGAAGGCUUCUCUAGGCCCGGCUCGUGCCUCGCUGCGGCCUCUUGAGGCCCAGCUUUUCCCUUGUGGUGGCCUCUCCAGGCCCAGAACUUCCUCAAGUCGGCCUCCCCCGGUCCAGUGGCUGCCUCCCGGCCUCCUCUCCGGGCCCAGCUCUUUGCUCGCGUCUGCGCCCGUGGGCCCAGCUCCCGUCUCCAAACAGCCUCCUUCGACUCGGCUCCUGCCCAGCUCCCGGCGGCCUUCGUAGGCCCGAAGCCUCCUCCAGUCCAGCUCUCCAGGGCCGCGUCUUGCCUCGCCUCGCCUCCCCUCACCUUGCCUCACCUCGCAGCAGCCUUUCCAGGCCCAGCUCCCGCCUCCCGGCGGCCUUCCCCUGCCACGCUCGUGCCGGCCUCCCGGCAGCCUCCACCAGCCCGGCUCCUGCCUCACGCUGGCCCCUCUGGGCCCAGCUCAUGCCUCGCGGUGGCCUCUCCGGGCCCAGCUCCCACCCAGCCUGACGGCGCCUCCCGGCCCCAAGCUGCCUUCCUCGAUGUGGCCCAAAGUGGCCCAAAGCGUCCCAAAGUAGGCCUCGCCAGGCCCACCUCCUGCCCGGCGUAGGCCCUGAGGGGCGCGGCCCCUGCCCCAUACUGGCCUCUUUUGGGCCCUCUCUUACACCAGCCCCUGUCUCAGGAUUGUCUCUUCACGCCCAUCUUCUGCCUCAUAGUGGUCACUCAAGGCCUCGCUUUUGCCUGAUGAUUGCGUUUUCUGGUUUUGCUCUUGCCUUGUAUUCCCUUCUUCGGGAUACAGCUUUUACGUCUUCCAUGGUGAACCUCAUCAAGGAGACUAAAUCUUCCCUGGUCUGUCAUUUUUUUCACUUCACACCAGAGUGCCUUGGGAAAACCCCAUCUCUUCUUUUAACCUUGAGAGUGGAUUUCUGACGAAUUGAUAAUAAAUUUUUUCUCUGUGGUUUCAGUGAUUUCUGUUUUAUUUAAUGUCCCAUGGUGUUUUUUUGUCUGCUGGGGGUGAGGGUGGGAAUGAAUUUUUGGCCCUUUGUCUUUGCCCCGGAGAUGGUAGCUUCUCACUUCAUUUCUUCUGUUUUUAUAUUAUUUACUGUUUUCUUUUCUUUUUUUCUUUUUGUUUUUCCUUAGGUUCUUACUCUGUCACCCAGGCUGGAGUGUAGUCAUGUCAUUAUGGCUUACUGCAUCCUUGGCCUUUUGGCCUCAAGUGAUCCUCCCAACUCAGUAACUGAGACUAUAGGCACAUGCCAAUAUGCCUGGCUGAUUUCUGUUUUUUUUAUGAGGUUUUUUCUCACUAGGUUGCCCAGUCUGGUCCCAAACUUUUGGACACAAGCAUUCCUUUUGCCUGGGCCUCCCAAAGUGCAGAGAUUACAAGCAUGAGCCAUCAUGCCCUGCCUGCAAUUUUUCUGUCA
rnacentral:lncRNA from 1 species